CCGGGUUGUACCUGAGAUACGGAGAGCGUCAACAAGCUCCUAGCAACUCGCUUGGAAACAGUCAAGCUCGGCUCGCCAAUCGGCAGGGAGGCUGCGGCUGUGAUGUGAGUUUCACGCUUGUCUUCAUUAACAGAUUACAGAUUGGGUCGCUGACAAACCAGGACGGAGGGCACGACACAGGCGGGGGGAGACCCGGCUUCAACACCCCGCCAGGAAGCUUUGGAACGGGGGGGUGUCCGGUCUGAGAUUCAAUUCCACCUGGGGUAUAGACCCGCACCUCUCGUAGGAUCAAGUCUUCGUUAGCUUUGUUAUUGGCAAGUAACCAAAGAUCUACUUCCUGAACGACCAUUCAAGGGAGCAGGGGGAUAUUUUGACUGAAUAGUUGAAUAAGUUAUUACUCAAGUAGAAGACCGAAUGGGAUAGAGUGAAGAAACUAUUAAGAAAAUUGAGAGGAAAUUUUCAAAAUUCAUUAACAACGUCGAAGGUAGCAUACUUCAAGAGAAAAUAUGCAGAAGAAGAAGAUUUACAUAAAGUUUACAAUGGGUACUUUCCAAAAAACUUGAUCUUUCCCGAAGAUCGAACAUGUAUUCUGAGACUUUCACUUGAAAAAUUAAGGAUUCUUGAAGAUCCUGAAAUCUAUCUUCGAAGGGCUGUGUUAAUAAACAAUUUAUUGAGGAAAAUCCAUAUUGAAACAGAGAAAGAAGUCUAUGAUUAUGCUGAACAAUUUAAUAAGGCCUCAACACACCUAUAUAAUGAUGCACAGAAAAGAGUGAAAUAUAUGAUGAAAGAUUAUAGUGGAUGUCCCCAGUCUUUGUAUUAUGAAGAGAUUGGUUCAUAUUCCUUUGUGCCUUUUUCUUCAAGCAAUGUCAUUUAUGGACUUGGUUUCCCAAAUGGCCAUUUGGGAAAAAGUACUUCCUAAAGUGGAAUUCCAAACAGGAUGAGCUGCUACAUCUAUACCUCUCCUCAUUCUGUCUGGGCAUAUGCCAGUGCUUUGUAAGCCGACACUCAUCAAUGAGUCUGCAGUUAAGUCCUCAUGUAUAUUUUCUGAUUAGAAAGUUGGCAUCUUCAUAAAUCAAUAAAGAAGAACACUUAGAUUAAACUUUGUUUUUGAUCAUAUGUAUUUGGAACAUUGUGUACUUAAUGUGUAGUGUUUUCUUGUUGAGUAUGGACUAGAUGGUUGAAUAUGGACUAUGUAUAGUUUUUAAACUAAUACGGUACAAAGUAGAGAUUUGUUGAUGUUUCUUUGUAAUUGCAUUUUGAUGCUAGUUUUUGUCAUUCUUUCCACUCACCUCUGUUUAGAUAGUGAGAUGGAUCCUUCACUGCCACCUUCAUUGUUCCUUCUGGAGGCUGGGUCCUCCAAACUUUCUCUUACCUGUCAUGAUGCACAGUGAUGUGAGGGGAAACAGUCACCUUAUCCAAGGAAGGGUAAGUUUGCUUUAGUAACCACUGAGGCCAUCAUUGUGAAUGACAUCCUGCAACAAGCUCUAGGCACUUUGUUUUUGGAGCCUUUGGUUUGUCGUAAAGGCAGUACUCUAUAGUUAUUGUGGUUCAAAUAAUUCUUUACAAAGCAAACUUACAGAAUAUGUGUGAUUAGUUGGGAAGCUAAGCCUAUGCUGAAGUCCUGAAAUGCAGUGUAAACUAGUCACAUAAUCACCAAACAAUGCACAAUACAUUCUUAUGUCUGGAUAAAAUUUACAGUACAUGAUUAUACAAAGUGAAAAUGGGUUUAUAUUUUGAAUAGUCCGACUUAGAUAGUGAAACAAGAUCUAAGGCUGUGGGAGAGUAAACUGAAGGAAAAGAAUGAACCUAUUGUGAAGGGAUUUUGAAAGGUGGAGCCAUUGGUAAUGUAUAUCAGACAACUCCAUUCUUCUUAUAGAUAGGAAUGCAAUCAUGGAUGACCACUGAUUUGUAAGGUACACAUCCAGUAAUAUACUAUUAUGGUUUACCAUUAUACAUGUUUCUUUUUCAUUUUAACCUUUUUGGAUGCUUUUUAACUUGGUUGUUGAAUUGUACCUUUCAAUAGAAACUUGUGGCCUGGGUCAGCUGGAGU